AUUGAACGCUGGGGGCAGGCCUAACACAUGCAAGUCGAACGGUAACAGGAAGAAGCUUGCUUCUUUGCUGACGAGUGGCGGACGGGUGAGUAAUGUCUGGGAAACUGCCUGAUGGAGGGGGAUAACUACUGGAAACGGUAGCUAAUACCGCAUAACGUCGCAAGACCAAAGAGGGGGACCUUCGGGCCUCUUGCCAUCGGAUGUGCCCAGAUGGGAUUAGCUAGUAGGUGGGGUAACGGCUCACCUAGGCGACGAUCCCUAGCUGGUCUGAGAGGAUGACCAGCCACACUGGAACUGAGACACGGUCCAGACUCCUACGGGAGGCAGCAGUGGGGAAUAUUGCACAAUGGGCGCAAGCCUGAUGCAGCCAUGCCGCGUGUAUGAAGAAGGCCUUCGGGUUGUAAAGUACUUUCAGCGGGGAGGAAGGGAGUAAAGUUAAUACCUUUGCUCAUUGACGUUACCCGCAGAAGAAGCACCGGCUAACUCCGUG
rnacentral:rRNA from 1 species